rnacentral:tRNA from 1 species
UUAAAGUAGGUGUAGGGCACGCCUAAUUUUGAUUUAGGAAGAGAUUCAUAUCAUUUAAG